rnacentral:pre_miRNA from 1 species
AUGGGUAUAAGGAAUCUACUUUAUUCAACACACUAACCUAAUUUCCGAGACAUGUUACAUACCUGAAACAUAUCUUAGAAAUUAGGGUUUUUCUUAGUUUGUGUGCUGAACAAAGUAGAUUCCUUGUACUCA